rnacentral:rRNA from 1 species
UACGUAGGGUGCGAGCGUUGUCCGGAAUUAUUGGGCGUAAAGAGCUCGUAGGCGGUUUGUUGCGUCUAUCGUGAAAACCUGCAGCUUAACUGUGGGCUUGCGGUGGAUACGGGCAGACUUGAGUUCGGUAGGGGAGACUGGAAUUCCUGGUGUAGCGGUGAGAUGCGCAGAUAUCUGGAGGAACACCGGUGGCGAAGGCGGCAUCCUGGACCGGCAUUGACGCUGAGGCGCGAAAGCUAGGGGAGCAAACGGG